UACGUAGGGACCGAGCGUUGUCCGGAAUCAUUGGGCGUAAAGAGCGUGUAGGCGGCCACUUAAGUCCUGCGUAAAUCUUGCGGCUCAACCGCAAGCGGUCGUGGGAAACUGGGUGGCUAGAGUGCGGGAGAGGAGAGUGGAAUUCCUGGUGUAGCGGUGGAAUGCGCAGAUAUCAGGAAGAACACCCGUGGCGAAGGCGGCUCUCUGGAACGCAACUGACGCUGAGACGCGAAAGCGUGGGGAGCAAACAGG
rnacentral:rRNA from 1 species